GUGGGGAAUUUUGGACAAUGGGCGCAAGCCUGAUCCAGCAAUGCCGCGUGCAGGAAGAAGGCCUUCGGGUUGUAAACUGCUUUUGUACGGAACGAAACGGUCCUGGCUAAUAUCCGGGGCUAAUGACGGUACCGUAAGAAUAAGCACCGGCUAACUACGUGCCAGCAGCCGCGGUAAUACGUAGGGUGCGAGCGUUAAUCGGAAUUACUGGGCGUAAAGCGUGCGCAGGCGGUGCUGUAAGACAGGCGUGAAAUCCCCGGGCUCAACCUGGGAAUUGCGCUUGUGACUGCAGUGCUGGAGUGCGGCAGAGGGGGAUGGAAUUCCGCGUGUAGCAGUGAAAUGCGUAGAUAUGCGGAGGAACACCGAUGGCGAAGGCAAUCCCCUGGGCCUGCACUGACGCUCAUGCACGAAAGCGUGGGGAGCAAACAGGAUUAGAAACCCCAGUAGUCC
rnacentral:rRNA from 1 species